rnacentral:rRNA from 1 species
GAUGAACGCUGGCGGCGUGCCUAAUACAUGCAAGUCGAGCGAACAGACGAGGAGCUUGCUCCUCUGCCGUUAGCGGCGGACGGGUGAGUAACACGUGGAUAACCUACCUAUAAGACUGAGAUACCUUCGGGAAACCUGAGCUAAUACCGGAUAAUAUAUUGAACCGCAUGGUUUAAUAGUGUAAGACGGUUUUGCUGUCACUUAUAGAUGGUUCCGCGCCGCAUUAGCUAGUUGGUAAGGUAACGGCUUACCAAGGCAACGAUGCGUAGCCGACCUGAGAGGGUGAUCGGCCACACUGGAACUGAGACACGGUCCAGACACCUAAGGGAGGCAGCAGUAGGGAAUCUUACGCAAUGGGCGAAAGCCUGACGGAGCAACGCCGCGUGAGGGAUGAAGGUCUUCGGAUCGUAAAACUCUGUUAGUAGGGAAGAACAAAUGUGUAAGUAACUAUGCACGUCUUGACGGUAACUAAUCAGAAAGCAACGGCUAACUACGUG